rnacentral:lncRNA from 1 species
CGGCAGGUGGCGCUCCUGCCCUGAUUAACGCUGGCAAUUAGCAAAUUAACUUAAUUAGGCGGUGAUUGGGGCCCCAUUGAGCAGCAGCUGCCCUUUCACCCCAAGCGUGGUUGGAGCAGCCACGAGGAUUCUGGAGGGAACGGAGGGGUAUUCCAAAGGCAAUCCAAAGUGAACACCGAGGAAUUUUCCUCCCUCACCUUUGGGAAGUCGCUCUGGAAUGACUCGUCCCACCCCAGACUCGCUGCUGAUCCCAUGGAUGGUUUGGGUUGGAAAACACCAACCCUGGGAAGAUCCUGAAAGUUCCUCGAUUCCAACCAGGCUUGGGCAGUGCCCACCAUGGAUCAAACCAGUCAAAAUCCAUCAGGAUCUUCCCGAAAACCCUGAGGAACAAUGAAAUCCCAGUUCGUUGCUGCAAUGGGCUGUUGGGACAGAGUUCCUGAAGGAAUUGCUUCCCUGGAAUUUCAUCACCAAAUCCCUGCCUUUCCCACCUUAAAAUCCGCCAGGGAUUGUCUGAAACGCUUUGAUGAGGUGCCCUUAAUUGGGAUUGGAAUUCUGGAGGCAUUACCUGGGAUACAGCUGAGGGGAUUGCACAAAGAGUUCGGAAAAAAUUAAUUUGGAUUAAAAUUUGACUCCUUUUUGUUGCUUUCCCGGAGUUUGGUGGAGCCGCGUGAAGAUUUCCCUUUAUUCCAAGAGAAAUUUUCCAUUAUGUUCCCCUCCUAAAAAAAGGUGGAUGUGUUUUGGGAGACUAGUCUUGAAAUUUUAAUAACUUCUAAUUUUUUCUUUUAUUUUUCUUUUUUAAUUUUAAUUCUAAACAUUUUAAACACAUCAACUAAAAAAAGAAAAGUGCAUAAGGGAAGGAAAUAACGGGAUAUCGAUGGAAAAUCAAUCCUUUUUUUAAUGGGAUGGUUUGGGAAAGGGCCC